rnacentral:rRNA from 1 species
GACAGAGGGUGCAAACGUUGUUCGGAAUUACUGGGCGUAAAGCGCGUGUAGGCGGCUCGGAAAGUCGGGUGUGAAAGCCCUGGGCUCAACCUAGGAAGUGCACUCGAAACUUCCGAGCUGGAGUUCUGGAGAGGAAGGCGGAAUUCUCGGUGUAGAGGUGAAAUUCGUAGAUAUCGAGAGGAACACCGGUGGCGAAGGCGGCCUUCUGGACAGCAACUGACACUGAGGAACGAAAGCCAGGGGAGCAAACGGG